rnacentral:ncRNA from 1 species
CUCAGGGCAGGGUGAAAUUCCUGACCGGCGGUAAACCCCGCGAAACUGCAUGGCAGUCAGAGCUGGUGAAAUUCCAGCGGCGACAGUAAAGUCUGGAUGGAAGAGU